UGCAUGCUUUUACAGUAUGAAAAUUGGUGAUUUAUAAUAACUUAGCAAAUCGCAAAGUGAAAACAGGCGAUAAAUCAUUCAAGUUUCUGACCUAUCAGCUUUCGACGGUAUGGUAUUGGCUUACCGUGGCAGUGACGGUUAACGGGGGAUUAGGGUUCGAUUCCGGAGAGGGAGCCUGAGAAACGGCUACCACAUCUAAGGAAGGCAGCAGGCGCGCAAAUUACCCAAUUCUAACAGUUUGAGAGAGGUAGUAACAAGAAAUAACAAUACAAGGCAGUUAAAAUGCUUUGUAAUUGGAAUGAUAGAAAUUUAAACCCUUUUUAAAGUAUCAAUUGGAGGGCAAGUCUGGUGCCAGCAGCCGCGGUAAUUCCAGCUCCAAUAGCGUAUAUUAAAAUUGUUGCAGUUAAAAAGCUCGUAGUUGAAGUUCUGCUAAAAGUAACCGGUCUGCUUUGAAUAAAAGUGGUAUCUUGGUAUGUAUUUAGCAAUGAUGUCCUUUGAAGUGUUUUUUACUUUAUUGUAAUAAAGCAUAUUCAGGACUUUUACUUUGAGAAAAUUAGAGUGUUUCUAGCAGGCCAACGCUUUGAAUACUGCAGCAUGG
rnacentral:rRNA from 1 species